UACAGAGGGUGCAAGCGUUAAUCGGAAUUACUGGGCGUAAAGCGUGCGUAGACGGUUGCGUAAGUCAGAUGUGAAAGCCCCGGGCUCAACCUGGGAAUUGCAUUUGAGACUGCGUAGCUAGGGUGCGGAAGAGGAAGGCGGAAUUCCCGGUGUAGCGGUGAAAUGCGUAGAUAUCGGGAGGAACAUCAGUGGCGAAGGCGGCCUUCUGGUCCAGUACUGACACUCAAGUGCGAAAGCGUGGGGAGCAAACAGG
rnacentral:rRNA from 1 species